CUGCUCGAAGAUCUUAGUGGCGGACGGGUGAGUAACGCGUGGGCAAUCUGCCCGUAAGAGGGGGAUAACACCUAGAAAUGGGUGCUAAUACCGCAUAACAUCAUAGGGUUGCAUAACCUUAUGAUCAAAGGAGAAAUCCGCUUACGGAUGAGCCCGCGUCUGAUUAGCUAGUUGGUGGGGUAACGGCCUACCAAGGCGACGAUCAGUAGCCGGCCUGAGAGGGUGAUCGGCCACACUGGAACUGAGACACGGUCCAGACUCCUACGGGAGGCAGCAGUGGGGAAUCUUCCGCAAUGGGCGAAAGCCUGACGGAGCAACGCCGCGUGAGUGAUGAAGGCCUUCGGGUUGUAAAACUCUGUCUUCAGGGAAGAAAAAAAUGACGGUACCUGAGGAGGAAGCCACGGCUAACUACGUGCCAGCAGCCGCGGUAAUACGUAGGUGGCAAGCGUUGUCCGGAAUUACUGGGCGUAAAGAGCGCGUAGGCGGGGAUUUAAGUCAGGAGUGAAAACUACCGGCUCAACCGGUAGCCUGCUCUUGAAACUGAAUCUCUUGAGGGUAUGAGAGGAAAGCGGAAUUCCCAGUGUAGCGGUGAAAUGCGUAGAUAUUGGGAGGAACACCAGUGGCGAAGGCGGCUUUCUGGCAUACAACUGACGCUGAGGCGCGAAAGCGUGGGGAGCAAACGGGAUUAGAUACCCCGGUAGUCCACGCCGUAAACGAUGGGCACUAGGUGUAGGAGGUAUCGACCCCUUCUGUGCCAUAGUUAACACAAUAAGUGCCCCGCCUGGGGAGUACGGCCGCAAGGUUGAAACUCAAAGGAAUUGACGGGGGCCCGCACAAGCGGUGGAGUAUGUGGUUUAAUUCGACGCAACGCGAAGAACCUUACCAGGGCUUGACAUCC
rnacentral:rRNA from 1 species